rnacentral:rRNA from 1 species
ACAGAUGGUGCAUGGUUGUCGUCAGCUCGUGUCGUGAGAUGUUCGGUUAAGUCCUGCAACGAGCGCAACCCUUGUCCUUAGUUACCAGCAUUUAGUUGGGGACUCUAAGGAGACUGCCCGAGUAAUUGGGAGGAAGGUGGGGACGACGUCAAAUCAUCAUGCCUCUUACGAGUGGGGCUACACACGUGCUACAAUGG